UCCUCAAUAACUAAUGUUGAUCCUUUUCCAGGGAAACACCAUAACCUUCAUUUUAAAUGCCUAAUUAUACUAGUAGUCUAGGGAGAUAAUCAUCAACUAAAUAAUACAUCCAACAUAUUUCUGAAUUUCUUGAGAUUGCACCAAAUCAGAUUUCAGAAAAAGAAAAAAAACAAAUUUUCACCUCAAUUCCAUUCCUGUGCAGUAAAAUUGAAAGUGGUCAAACAACCCUAGCAGCCGAUCAGACUUCAAAAUCGUGUAUCAUAGCUAAUAACAAAUUAGGGGGAAUGGUUUCAUGUGUAGACUAGAAGAAUAGAUUUCACAGAAAUCGAUUUUAGAAAAUUAGAGAUAAACAAACCCUGUGUAUCAAGGCGGUUCAGUGGCUAUCGUCAGCGCUGUCGAGGGCAGAUACCAUCACUGGCGACGAUGGCAUUGUUGAAGACUCGUGUGUGUGUGAGGUCGAAGAUGGGGGCGGCUAUGUUGUCCGAGGUCAACAACGGGAAGAUGUUGGCGGAUUUGGUCGGUGAUGAGAGGAGAUGAUCGACGCUGGAGUUGUUCGGAUGUGGGAAAAGAACAACGGGACGAUGAAUCGUAGAAUCGAUGUGUGUUGAUGGACGAAUGUGUUUGAGGGCAAAAGAGGGAAGAGCGUGUUUCUUUUUUAUUCAAAUAUAA
rnacentral:lncRNA from 1 species